rnacentral:lncRNA from 1 species
GAAAAAUAAAACUACACCAAUUCAUAAUUUAUGCCAUGCAACUAAUGAGAAAUAUUGAGUUACUUUACAAUCCAUCAUUCACCUAUCUGAGCACAUAAUAUUUUUCAGCCCUAUGAAAUACCAAGUUCUUUAAUAGGGCAUGGAGAUCCCAAAGAUGAAUUAGACAGAAAUCUUGCCCUUAAGCAGGUCAAAACCUACUGGGUGAUCCAGGUAGGUAGACACUGACAUUGAAUGUGAUAAGCUCAACACUGAAGUUGUACAUAAAGGCUACGAAGACAGUGCAGCUGUAGGUCUUGGGUAAAUGGGAAAAGUUUUCAGAGAGGUUGAUUCUAGGCUGUCUUAAAAACUGUGAGGAGGUUGCCAAAUAGACAAAGGAGGGAAAGGCAUUCCCAGGAGAGAAUAACAGGUUCAAAAGCUUAGAGAUGGAAGAGGAUGCUUCCAAUCUGGGAAUCCCAGACAUUUUAGUAGAACUAGAAUGCAAGAUACUAGAUCUGUAGAGAAUGGGAAGAGUUGAAGUAAGCAGGGGGAAAAAGUGUCUUAAUGCUAUUCUAAAUAGUUUGGGUUUCAUAGCAGAGAGCCCAGAAAAUAUUUGGGACUGAGUAGUGACAUGAUCUCAUUUGUGUAUCAGAAAGAUUAUUCUAGGAUGAAUUUGGAGGCACUGAGGCUUAUUUUGGAGUUGGACUUAGACCUGCAGACACUUAUCACUGUUAGAUGGGCCCUUCCAAGAGAAUUUGUAAACAGAGAUCUUGCUCUCAGGAAAUUUAACAUUUAAUUCAUAGAACCCAAAAUCACAGCCUACAGAGAAAUGCACUUUCUUAAGGUAAUGUGUUCUGUUUGCCAGCACUUUGACACAAAGAGAAGUGCUGGCUUCAUAGAAAUAAUUAAUCCUCUUUUUCUGCCACUGGGAUAAACAAAGGAAAGAAAGAAAUAGAUGUUAUAAAAAAAUAAAAUCCAAGGCAGAUCAAAGGGGAUGUGGCGGAGGAUUCAGCAACUGCCACCCUUAAGCAAAGAACAGUAAUGAAGAAAUGAGUUUUGGCAGCCUAGCCAAUGGGAUAUGAAAGAAAUUAAUCCCGAAGGGAUGUAAUGACCUGAAAAAAAUGAUGAGCAAAGUCCAGAAGGAUUAGAAGAAAGAAAAAGGCAGCAGACAGAAUGGACUUCAGUGCAACAGGGAAUUAAACUGAAAUCAUUAAAUUCUUUCUGCUUAGCACUUUAGAGAAAAUUUCUAUCAGCCUGCCUAAGGUUGGAAAUGUUUGAGGAGGCAUUUAUCAUGAAAGCCGUGGCCUUUGCUCCUAAAGCUUCGUCUCACAAGUACAAUAACAAAAACUGCUAAUUAAAAGAGGGAAAACAACCAGGAGUCAAACACAAAGGGGCAUCCCUGCCUCAUCAGCACAGAACAAUCGACCGGCUCCCUUCACUGCCCAUGCGAGGCUCCAUGUGAGGAAGCCUGCUCUGCCCUUCCAGGAAGCAGGUGUGGGAAUAGAAGGAGGCACCACUCAUCUUCUGCAGAAAAGCAAAAUGAAGACAUCAUCAGAGAGCAGCACUCAUUGGAAGUAGCUCCUCGGGUUCCCUUCUAAUGUCAGG